UGGGGAAUAUUGGCGCAAUGGAGGCAACUCUGACGCAGCCAUGCCGCGUGUGUGAAGAAGGCCCUCGGGUUGUAAAGCACUUUCAAUUGGGAGAAAAAGCUUGUCGUUAAUAGCGGCAAGCCUUGAUGUUACCUUUAGAAGAAGCACCGGCUGAACUCCGUGCCAGCAGCCGCGGUAAUACGGAGGGUGCGAGCGUUAAUCGGAAUUACUGGGCGUAAAGGAGUUCGUAGGCGGACUAGCAAGUUAGAGGUGAAAUCCCAGGGCUCAACCUUGGAACUGCCUUUAAAACUGCUAGUCUAGAGACCGGAAGAGGUUAGGGGAAUACCUAGUGUAGAGGUGAAAUUCGUAGAUAUUAGGUGGAACACCAGUGGCGAAGGCGCCUAACUGGUCCGGUACUGACGCUGAGGAACGAAAGCGUGGGGAGCAAAACAGGAUUAGAUACCCUGGUAGUCCACGCCGUAAAACGAUGAGUGCUAGAUGUU
rnacentral:rRNA from 1 species